rnacentral:rRNA from 1 species
GGAAUCGCUAGUAAUCGCGGAUCAGCACGCCGCGGUGAAUACGUUCCCGGGCCUUGUACACACCGCCCGUCACACCAUGAGAGUCUGUAACACCCAAAGCCGGUGGGAUAACCUUUAUAGGAGUCAGCCGUCUAAGGUAGGACAGAUGAUUAGGGUGAAGUCGUAACAAGGUAGC